rnacentral:rRNA from 1 species
AGUGAACGCUGGCGGUAGGCCUAACACAUGCAAGUCGAACGGCAGCACAGUAAGAGCUUGCUCUUACGGGUGGCGAGUGGCGGACGGGUGAGGAAUACAUCGGAAUCUACUUUUUCGUGGGGGAUAACGUAGGGAAACUUACGCUAAUACCGCAUACGACCUACGGGUGAAAGCAGGGGAUCUUCGGACCUUGCGCGAUUGAAUGAGCCGAUGUCGGAUUAGCUAGUUGGCGGGGUAAAGGCCCACCAAGGCGACGAUCCGUAGCUGGUCUGAGAGGAUGAUCACCCACAGUGGAACGGAGACACGGUCCAGACCCCUGGGGGGGGCGGCGGGGGGGAAUUUUGGACAAGGGGCGAAAGUUGGACCCAGCCAUCCCGGGGGGGGGAAGAAGGCUUUGGGUUUGUAAAGCCCUUUUGUGGGGAAAAAAAAGAAGCGGGUAAAUCCCCCGUGGUUCGGAGGGUACCAAAAAAAAAAGCCCCGGCUAACUUCGUC